CACGUAGGGGACGAGCGUUGUCCGGAUUCAUUGGGCGUAAAGCGCGCGUAGGCGGCUCGGAAAGUCGGUCGUGAAAUGCCGGGGCUCAACCCCGGGACUGCGUCCGAUACUCCCGAGCUGGAGGCAGGUAGGGGAGAUCGGAAUUCCUGGUGUAGCGGUGAAAUGCGCAGAUAUCAGGAGGAACACCGGUGGCGAAGGCGGAUCUCUGGGCCUUGCCUGACGCUGGAGGCGCGAAAGCUAGGGGAGCGAACAG
rnacentral:rRNA from 1 species